rnacentral:rRNA from 1 species
AACGAACGCUGGCGGCAUGCCUAACACAUGCAAGUCGAACGAGACCUUCGGGUCUAGUGGCGCACGGGUGCGUAACGCGUGGGAACCUGCCCUUAGGUUCGGAAUAACUCCCCGAAAGGGGUGCUAAUACCGGAUAAUGUCUUCGGACCAAAGAUUUAUCGCCUUUGGAUGGGCCCGCGUUGGAUUAGCUAGUUGGUAGGGUAAAAGCCUACCAAGGCGACGAUCCAUAGCUGGUCUGAGAGGAUGAUCAGCCACACUGGGACUGAGACACGGCCCAGACCCGUAGGGGAGACAUCUGGGGGAAAUACUGGAGUGGGAGCAAACGCCUUCCACGGCAGUGCCGGGGGAUGGCUGAGUGGUUUAGGGUUGUACCCCUCGUUUACCGGAGAUGCCAAUCAGGGUACAGGGCGACUAUGCUCCGCCUACCCCCGGCCCAGCGGCCGCCUAAUCAUCGACGCGCACCGCCUCCUC